rnacentral:lncRNA from 1 species
GGUAAUCAGAUGGAUUGAGUGCUUCGAUGCCCCCUGCCAAUCAAGAUCACAUUGGUCCCAAGGCUCCCAUCGUGUUGCACCCUGGUCUAUGCUACUUUGCGAUGAGAGACCCAGCUAAGAGCACAAGUUGUUUUCUCGCAAGGCUGAGCACCUCCACAGCCUGUGCUAGGAGAACUCUCUCUCUUUCUGUUAACCUUUUUAAGCCCUUGAUGAUUUCAGAACAAUUCUGUCUGAAGGUAAGGAAUGACCUCUGUUGAAUAAAAUACUGUAGAAACUUGACCGUCACUUGAGGUAUGAUUAUUUUAAAGUGGAGUGGAGUGAAUGAUAUUAUAUUAAAGUUUUAAAUUCAGUGUAUAGGUUCUAUUCUCUUUCAGGCUAAUACUAGAUGGUCUUCCUGAUCUUUAAAAAAAUUAAUACUGUCUGUUUUUCAUUCUGAACAUGCUUUAUGGAGUUUCCCAUUCAAAGUGCACCUGAAUUGAAAAUCAGCAUCUUCAUUUGGAACAUCUGUCCUUGAACCUUCAGUUUGGGUCCCAUAUUUGAAACCACUGCUUGGAUUAUCUGCUAAAGACAUCUUUAUCCACAAAGCUUCUCUCUCCUACUUGACAAUCACCUGAGUUUCUCAGACCUCAGGUUGAGCCUUUUUGAGAAUCUCCCCAAGACACAGAGCACAUAUUUUAAGUCUUAUAAGCCCAAACGGCCCUCUAAAUGUGAAGGAAACCCAUCCAGAUGCUUUCUUUGACUGCUAUAGUGACACAAAAUAGCAAUCUGGAUAAUUCAGUGCUUUUGUUGAAGAGACACAUUUUCAUGCCUGUUUUAGUCAGCUUUUGCUACAGAAGCAACACAAACUUUCAGUGGCUUAUAACCACCACCGUUUACUUCUAACCCACACCACAUGGUGGUUGCUGGUUGGCUAAGGUCCUGCUCCAGACAGUGGACCUGACUGCAGGUCUGCUUGUGUUCUCAUUUGGAGGUCCAAGUUGAAGGAGCUGCCCUUCUCUGGGACGUGAUGUUGGCAUAAGGACAGGAGUACAGGAGGCUGAGGCAAGUUAUAAAACUGUAUCCAAAAUUUCUGCUCAAAUAUAGCAUGCAGCAUAUCAUCUCAUAUUCCCUUGGCCAAAACACAUCCUGUGAAGAAGUCAAAAGUCAGUGUGCCAAGGAUAUAAAAUCCUCUUACAGGAAACAGAUGAGUGGAAAAAUCAAGAAUUUUAAUCUAAUCUACCACCUCUAUCCUCUGACAAAACUUUGACGCCAACUUACUUUUCACAUGUUUCCUGGAAAGAAUAUACACAUAUAUGAUUUUGCUUAAAGGCUAUAGAACUAUUUCAUUUUGGAUAAAUACUUCAUCCCACUCUUUCUUUUAUUGAAGAAUCUGCCUCUACUUUUUUUAAUGGAAAAAUUAAUAACUGAAAAGAGGUCCCAUGAGAAGCUAAAUUCAUAAUGAAUUUAUUCACUUUACAAUGUUAAGGCAUGAUAUAUGAUUCUGCCUGUUAAAGUGUGUUUGAUCUAAAAUGGCAUUUAGUUUCAAAAUGGAGAAAAUAUGUGUUGCCAUGUGAAUUCCCACAAGCCUACUGUCUUUUCCAAACUUGAGUAUGAAUCCUUUUAAAAAACAAAAAAAGCUAGUGUACCCACAGUAAUGACUUAUAAGUUUAUGAUUGUAAUGAUACUUAAAUGUACAGAGUGAAUAUUAAAAGCAUCAAGCUUAAUUUAGCAGACUUUCAGCCAUGGCAGCAUGAAGAAGUCAGUGCAUCCUCUCCCCCCAAAACAAUUAUAAAACUGAGUGAAAUUGUCAAAACAACCAUUUUAAGGCUCUGAAGUUUGACGAAAGGCAAACAACAAGUUGAGAGGUGUUUACUCGGGAAGCACUGCUGGAAUUUGGAUAAGAGAAGUGGGAGUCUGUGGUCUUCUUGCCUGGUGUGGCUCCCUUCCUACUCUCCCCCAGCUCAGUCAGCACGCUGCUUCCGCAGGGCAGGGCUGGCAGUGGACACCACCAGCUUCUGCCAGAAGAGGAAGACUUCAUUUGGAGUGGAGGACAAAAGUCUAUGUCAAACAGCAUUGCCACUGAAAUUAGCGAGCUCAGUAGGAAAUGAGUGUGGAAAACCCGUGGCUCUGCUAGCCUGAGGUCCCUCUUGGGGCAAGCAGUGGACUAGUGAGGAAUUUACUGGAGAUAGCUUGGAGAUGAGAGAGCCAUAGAAAAGCUAGAUGAACCCUCCACACAUCCCUGGCCAACUGAGGAAUGAUAUGAACAUUCAGGGGAGACAAAAAAGAAUUUGGUGGAAAGUAGAAGCUGAGGAAGACUUGAGAAAUGCCUGAAUCCGUUGCCGGAGGAUGGAAGCUUUACCAGUUUGAUGUGUUUGAGCACAACCUCUGCCCAAAUCAUUGCCUGACCAUUAGGCUAUGCAGACUCAGGAGAAACUUCUGGGGAACGAGCCUAAAAGAUAGAUGUGAGAAUAAUAUUUUUUUUAAAAAACCUGAGCAGAGAUAGCAGCAGCCACACACAAUGAGGGAGACAGACUCUGUAAGAUAAGUCCAGGCAAGUUGCUGAAAAAAAUCCCUCAGAAGGGAAAAAUCAGAAUCUAGAGUUGCUAUAAUUUAUUAUCCAAAAUGUUUAGUUUUCAACAACAACAAAAAAUUGAGACAUGCAAAGAAAUAGGACAGUCUAACUCUUAGAGAAAAAUUAGUCAGUAGGAACUGACUUUGAGUGGACCCAGAUGUUGGUUUUAGCAGAUGAAAGCGUCAAAGCAGCUAUUUAAAAUAUGUUUUAAAAAUGAAAGGAAGCCACGUUUAAAGACUUAAAAGUAUAAUUACUACUCAACAAAUAGAGAAUCUCAAUGGAGAAAUAGAAACUACAAAAAAGAAGCAAAGAGUUGAAUAGUACAAUAACUGAAAUGAAAAUUCACUGGAUAGAUUCAAUAGUAUCUGCAGAUUUGAUAUGAUACAAGAAAGCAUCAGUGAUCUUGAAGAUAAAUCAAGAGAAAUUAUGCAAUCUAAAGAACAGAGAAAAAAAGAUUAAAGAAAGAAAAGGCUUCAGACAUCUCUGGGACAAGAUCAAGUGUACCAAAGAAUGUGUAAUGAGAGGCCCAGAAAGGGGCAGAAAGUUUAUCUGAAGAAAUAAUGACUGAAAACUUUCCAUAUUUGAUGGAAAACCUUACAGAUCCAAGGAGGUCAACAAUCCCAAGGAGGAUAAGCACAGAGACCUGUAUCUAGACAUGUAGUAGUGAAGCUGCUGAAGCUGAAGAUAAGGAGGAAAUCUUGAAAACAGCAAGAGAAAACCAAUUCACAGGAACACUGGAGCAACAAUACAAUUUAUGGUUAACUUCUCAUCAAAAACAGUGGAGGCCAGUGGCAUUAGGAUGACAGACUCAAAAUGCUGAAAGGAAAAAAACCAUAAACCAAGAAUUCUAUAUCCAGGAAAAGUGUCCUUCAAAACAAUAUCACUCAGUAAUUUUUUAAAUGGAAAAAACUAUUGAUACAUAUUAUAAUCUGGGUGAAUCUCCAGUGAAUUAUGCUGAGUUUAAAAAGCUGAGUGAAAUAAUUCUAUUUAUAUAACAUUGUUGUGAUAAAAUUGUGGAAAUGGAGAACAGAUUAACAGCUGCUAGGGGUUAAGGAAGGAGUGGGUAUCAGAGGGAAGAAGAUGUAGCUAUAAAAAGGCAGCUGUUGGGGUGGGGCAUCCUUGUAUUGAUGGAAAUGUUCUGUAUCUUGACUGUAUCAAUGUUAAUAUCCUAAUUGUGUUAUAGUACUAUAGUUUUGUAAAAUGUUACCAACUGGGGGAAACUGGGUAAAUGGUACACAAGAAUCUCUCUGUAUUAUUUCUUAUAACUGCAUGUGAAUCUACAAUUAUCUUAAAAUAAAAAGUUUAAUUUUAAAAAUUACA